AACAGAGAAACAAAAAGACUUGAUAGGUAGCAGACAAUGCUAGGAAGAAAAAUAAAGCUGAGGAUGGUGCUGGGAAGUGAUGGAAGCAGGAUGGUAGCUGUUUUCUACAGGGAAGUCAGGGAAGACCUCCCUGGUGAGUGCAUGUCUGAGAAAGACCUGUGCACUUGGGGAGACUGACUCAUGUGCCUACCUGGAAGAGGGCCAAUCUAGAGGACAGGAAAUGCCAACACCCUGGGACAAGAGCAUGCUUGAAAUGUUCUGGAACAGUUACGGGGCUUCACAGCGAUACAGAGAGGGUAUGUGAGGGAAAACAGAGUUAGAAGGUGUGGUUAGAGAAGUAGCAGUAAAUAUGAUCAUGGAGGGCCUUCAGGCCAGCAGAUGGACUUUGGAUGCUAUUCUGGGAAAGACAGGAUGUUGGAAUUGGCUGUGAGCAGACAGGAUAAUUAGAACUUUCUUCUCUGACAUUCUACCAACACUAUCUUCAUGAUGCCACCAAUGCACACUUUUGCACCUCCCUGCUUUGUAAGUGCACCUGAGGAUUAACGUACAUUCAGGACCUUACCUUCUGUGGAACAUACUUGCUGGGAAGAGCUGUGCUUUCAUCUCUACGUUUUCUGAAAGGUACUUGAUAAAUGGCUGUUGUGGAAGACAUAAACACAAGACAACUAGAUAAGAGCACUGGACUCUAUUAUUUCAUCCAUUUAUGAGCACAUUCAAAAUCAUUUUGCCUACUAGAAAGUUACUGAAGUCACAGGUUUUUCUAGGAGUCAUGGAUUUUUCUCCUGCCACAAAUUCCUAUGAUUUUGUAGCUGAUUGAGACCUUGAAUCAUCUGGUGCCCUCUCUCAUUCCAUUCAUCUGAGGUCAAGAAGAUAAUGUCUAAACUACAUCAACUUGUGAUACGACUCAAUAUAUUCAACCUGCUCCUGCUCAAGUUGGUUGUAUGUGCAGCAAUAAGAAGAAAAUGAUGUUGCCAACAGGCAUUAAAUUGCUUAUAAAUACCAUCAGGAUUCAGUCAAUAGAAUACACAAUUUUAUUAAUGUUUUUUAUCUGUGAUCUUCCAAUAAAUUACAAAAGUCAGCUACCUGACAUUGUAUGGUAUGACGAAUGCAUGGAUAACCCUAAUAUGGCCUUUCUGUAACCACA